UGUGGAGUAGACUGUUCAAAAGCUGAAGAGUGAAGUGAAGACGCAAAAGAAGAAAAAGAAAGAGGAAACAAGUAGUUCUGAUGAUUCUUCUUCAUCGGACUCUGAAAAAGAAGAGCCUGCUCCAAAAAAACUGGUCCUUGCUACAUAAAAUGGUACUGCUAUUGCCCCUGCUAAGAAAUGCAAGGAGGCUAGCAGUUCAGAUUCUUCGGAUUCAGAUUCUUCACUUGAUUCUGAUGAUGAUAAAGGUCCAAAGGCGAAGGUAACUGCCUUAUCAACAAAGUUGCCUGCAGCUGCUGCCAAGAAUGGUCCAGUAUCUGUUCUGAAGAAGAAAGAUGACUCGGGUGAUAGUUCAGAUUCAGACGAGACAGAGUCAGAAGAGGAAGAGCCCAAGAUUCCUUUGGUUGUUGGAAAACCAAGUGCAGAAUCCACUAAAGAGGAAAGUGAUAGUUCGGAGGAGGAUGACAGUGAUACUGAAAAUGAUAGCAAGCCCUUAGAGAAGCAAAAGGUAAAAAAGGUUCUUGACAAAGAUGAUAGUGACGAUGAUAGUUAUGAGGAAUCUGAUAAGGAGCCUCACGAGAAAAAGAA